CAGAUUGAACGCUGGCGGCAGGCCUAACACAUGCAAGUCGAACGGUAACAGGAUGUGCUUGCACAUCGAUGACGAGUGGCGGACGGGUGAGUAAUGCUUGGGAACUUGCCUUUGCGAGGGGGAUAACAGUUGGAAACGACUGCUAAUACCGCAUAAUGUCUUCGGACCAAACGGGGCUUCGGCUCCGGCGCAGAGAGAGGCCCAAGUGAGAUUAGCUAGUUGGUAAGGUAAAGGCUUACCAAGGCGACGAUCUCUAGCUGUUCUGAGAGGAAGAUCAGCCACACUGGGACUGAGACACGGCCCAGACUCCUACGGGAGGCAGCAGUGGGGAAUAUUGCACAAUGGGGGAAACCCUGAUGCAGCCAUGCCGCGUGUGUGAAGAAGGCCUUCGGGUUGUAAAGCACUUUCAGUUGUGAGGAAAAGUUAGUAGUUAAUACCUGCUAGCCGUGACGUUAACAACAGAAGAAGCACCGGCUAACUCCGUGCCAGCAGCCGCGGUAAUACGGAGGGUGCGAGCGUUAAUCGGAAUUACUGGGCGUAAAGCGCACGCAGGCGGUUUGUUAAGCUAGAUGUGAAAGCCCCGGGCUCAACCUGGGAUGGUCAUUUAGAACUGGCAGACUAGAGUCUUGGAGAGGGGAGUGGAAUUCCAGGUGUAGCGGUGAAAUGCGUAGAUAUCUGGAGGAACAUCAGUGGCGAAGGCGACUCCCUGGCCAAAGACUGACGCUCAUGUGCGAAAGUGUGGGUAGCGAACAGGAUUAGAUACCCUGGUAGUCCACACCGUAAACGCUGUCUACUAGCUGUGUGUGAUUUUAAAUCGUGCGUAGCGAAGCUAACGCGCUAAGUAGACCGCCUGGGGAGUACGGCCGCAAGGUUAAAACUCAAAUGAAUUGACGGGGGCCCGCACAAGCGGUGGAGCAUGUGGUUUAAUUCGAUGCAACGCGAAGAACCUUACCUACACUUGACAUGCAGAGAACUUUCCAGAGAUGGAUUGGUGCCUUCGGGAACUCUGACACAGGUGCUGCAUGGCUGUCGUCAGCUCGUGUCGUGAGAUGUUGGGUUAAGUCCCGCAACGAGCGCAACCCUUGUCCUUAGUUGCCAGCAUUAAGU
rnacentral:rRNA from 1 species